CAGCCGCCGCGGGAAUACGUAGGGUGCAAGCGUUAAUCGGAAUUACUGGGCGUAAAGCGUGCGCAGGCGGUGUUGUAAGACUGAUGUGAAAUCCCCGGGCUCAACCUGGGAACUGCAUUGGUGACUGCAACGCUGGAGUGCGGCAGAGGGGGAUGGAAUUCCGCGUGUAGCAGUGAAAUGCGUAGAGAUGCGGAGGAACACCGAUGGCGAGGGCAGCCCCCUGGGAUAACACUGACGCUCAUGCACGAAAGCGUGGGGAGCAAACAGGAUUAGAUACCCCCGUAGUCCCUGUCUCUUAUAC
rnacentral:rRNA from 1 species